GGAGUGGUUGAAAAAACGAGUUUUAAUGACUCCAACCUAAGUGUGUGUAAACAUCCGACUUCAACUGUAUUUGACAGAGAAAUAGAUUUAAUCUCUUCAUCUGGUGAUCCUAUCUUGGUAGAAUCCACAUUAUACUGAAUAGUAUUACAACCUGUAAUGCUUUUAAUCGCUUUUAAAUCUACUGCAUUACACAACUCCACAAGAUUUCUCUGCAUUAUGGUAUUCAUAUUCCUCAUGCUACGCUUGUAUUCAUUGCCUCAUCAGUCAUCUUGCAUUUGUGUCGUCUCACUUUACACCCAUUUAAUCCAUAUGUAACCUUUCUCCAUCCAACCCUGCAACCAGCAACAUUAACUUCCACCAGCUCAUCCAUUGUCACCACUAACAUGAUUGCUACUAAUUCAACAACCCACGUUCUCUCUGCUACCACUUCAUCUGCCACCACUACUAGCAUGCCUCUAACUACUAGCUCAUCAACUGUUCAAACCACUACCACGACCACUCCUGCAGCUACAACUAAUGUGCCGACAUUACCCAGCACAACCACUGGUAAGGUAUCUGUAGCAAUGGAUCUGAUCUCAGUUGAUGACAAUUUGAUCUGAUUAUCGUUAUAGUGCAAAUAUCAUUUUUCUGAAUGAUUCAAUUUGAUACCUUCAUAUAUGUCUACGUAGUUUAGUCUGAUCACAUGACAUUUGGCAGUCACUGCAUUGUCAUUUACCUUCAGGAGAAAAGGUAAAGAUGAGAGAUCUAUCCAGUGAUGUAGUGUGUACACUGGAAACAUUCUGUCUGUACCCUGAUCUCCUUGUUAAGGGACCCUCCAAACCUUGUCACUUGCCAUAAAGCUUCCAAAUUCAACUGAAGAACCAUGAGAAGUAGACCUUCCAUUCCGUGGGGAGAG